GUGAAUCAUCGAGUCUUUGAACGCAAAUUGCGCUUUCGGGAUAGGCCUGAAAGCAUGUUUCUUUGAGCCUCGUGUCUAACCCACCUCGGCUGCGUGCCGGAAAAUGAAAGUCCUGUAGCAUGGAACGCAGGUCUUUUUUAAGAUUAUUGAGUCCUUGACUUGAUCUGCCUUGCUCUACAUCUGUUGCGGGCGCCGCGAUUAAAAGUCCCGAGCUUUUUCUCGUCGUCAGCGAUGGCUUUCGGGCGAAGCGAAUCAUGCGCAUUGGACGAUACGGAAACAUUUUUUGACUUUAGAGCUCAAAUGAAGCAAGAUAACCCGCUGAACUUAAGCAUAUCAAUAAGGCGAGG
rnacentral:rRNA from 1 species